rnacentral:rRNA from 1 species
AGAUGCCUACGGGGCGCAGCAGUGGGGGAUAUUGCACAAUGGGGGGAACCCUGAUGCAGCGACGCCGCGUGGGCGAUGGAGUGGUUCGGCAUGUAAAUCCCUAUCAGCAGGGAAGAAGAUGACGGUACCUGACCAAGAAGCCCCGGCUAACUACGUGCCAGCAGCCGCGGUAAUACGUAGGGGGCAAGCGUUAUCCGGAUUUACUGGGUGUAAAGGGGGCGCAGACGGCAAUGCAAGCCAGGAGUGAAAGCCCGGGGCCCAACCCCGGGACUGCUCUUGGAACUGCAUGGCUGGAGUACAGGAGG